CAGCAGCCGCGGUAAAACGUAGGUGGCGAGCGUUGUCCGGAAUUAUUGGGCAUAAAGGGCAUCUAGGCGGCCUAACAAGUCAGGGGUGAAAACCUGCGGCUCAACCGCAGGCCUGCCUUUGAAACUGUAAGGCUGGAGUACCGGAGAGGUGGACGGAACUGCACGAGUAGAGGUGAAAUUCGUAGAUAUGUGCAGGAAUGCCGAUGAUGAAGAUAGUCCACUGGACGGAAACUGACGCUGAAGUGCGAAAGCCGGGGGAGCGAACAGGAUUAGAUACCCCCGUAGUCCCUGUCUCUUAUAA
rnacentral:rRNA from 1 species